UGACCACGAGACCGAUAGCGAACAAGUACCGUGAGGAAAAGUUGAAAAGAACUUUGAAGAGAGAGUUCAAGAGUACGUGAAACCGUUUAGGGGUAAACCUGAGAAACCCGAAAGAUCGAAAGGAGAGAUUCAAUGUUAUCGUUGUUUUCCAUUUAGUGGCGUGCGAUUGACCGGGAUUCGUCCUGCGAUACGCCGUCGGUUUAUGUGUCAGGCGGCGUUGGCAUGCACUUCUCUCUCAGUAGGACGUCGCGACCCGUUUGGUGUCGAUCUAUGACCGCGGCGGUAGCCUGUCACGAAUUUAUUCGCGCCAGACCCCGCGUGCUCCGGCCGACUGCCAGACGGUAUAAAUGAUAUGGUAUAGGGUCGCUUUUAAGCGUUCGGCCGGUUGCAAGCAGGAACGGUUAUUGGCCGUCGGACCUAGUCCGGCAUCGUUGCCGCCUCGAGCUGUUAGCUACCGUGUUCUCGAACGGACUCUAUUACCGGUCAGCGAUGCUAUUGCUUUGGGUACUUUCAGGACCCGUCUUGAAACACGGACCAAGGAGUCUAGCAUGUGCGCGAGUCAUUGGGAAAUACAAAACCUAAAGGCGCAAUGAACGUAAAGGUUUGCUUAAGUAAACUGAGGGAUGACGGACCGCAUCUACGGAUGCGUGCCUGCAAUCCCGAGGCGUCUCACUCUCAUUGCGAGAAGAGACGCACUCAGAGCGUACACGCUAGGACCCGAAAGAUGGUGAACUAUGCCCGGUCAGGUCGAAGUCAGGGGAAACCCUGAUGGAGGACCGUAGCGAUUCUGACGUGCAAAUCGAUCGUCGGAACUGGGUAUAGGGGCGAAAGACUAAUCGAACCAUCUAGUAGCUGGUUCCCUCCGAAGUUUCCCUCAGGAUAGCUGGCAUUCGAUGAGCGAGUCUCAUCCGGUAAAGCGAAUGAUUAGAGGCCUUGGGGCCGAAACGACCUCAACCUAUUCUCAAACUUUAAAUGGGUGAGUUCUCUGGCUUGCUUGAAUAGUGAAGCCAGAGAUUUGGAUCAGAGUGCCUAGUGGGCCAUUUUUGGUAAGCAGAACUGGCGCUGUGGGAUGGACCAAACGCCGAGUUAAGGCGCCUAAACGACGCUAAUGGGAUACCAUGAAAGGCGUUGGUUGCUUAAGACAGCAGGACGGUGGCCAUGGAAGUUGGAAUCCGCUAAGGAGUGUGUAACAACUCACCUGCCGAAGCAACUAGCCCUGAAAAUGGAUGGCGCUGAAGCGUCGUGCCUAUACUCGGCCGCCAAGGCAUGAGAAACGUUCAUAAUAGUUCGUUUUGACGCCCUGGUGAGUAGGAGGGUCGCGGUGGUGUGCGCAGAAGGGUUUGGGCGUAAGCCUGCCUGGAGCCGCCAUCGGUGCAGAUCUUGGUGGUAGUAGCAAAUACUCCAGCAAGGCCCUGGAGGACUGACGUGGAGAAGGGUUUCGUGUGAACAGCCGUUGCACACGAGUCAGUCGAUCCUAAGCCCCAGGAGAAAUCCUAUGUUGAUGUCGGUGUAUUUUAUUUUGAAUAAAAUUUCACACCCAUCGGGCGAAACGGAAUCCGGUUCCUAUUCCGGAACCCGGCAGCGGAACCGUUUACAAGUCGGGCCCUCGCAAGAGAGUUCGUCGGGGUAACCCAAAAUGACCUGGAGACGCCGUCGGGAAAUACGGGAAGAGUUUUCUUUUCUGUAUGAGCGUUCGAGUUCCCUGGAAUCCUCUAGAAGGGAGAUAGGGUUUGGAACGCAAAGAGCACCGCUGUUGCGGCGGUGUCCGUAUCUUUCCCUCGGACCUUGAAAAUCCAGGAGAGGGCCACGGUAGGUGUCGCGCCGGUUCGUACCCAUAUCCGCAGCAGGUCUCCAAGGUGAAGAGCCUCUAGUCGAUAGAUAAAUGUAGGUAAGGGAAGUCGGCAAAUUGGAUCCGUAACUUUGGGAUAAGGAUUGGCUCUGAGGAUCGGGGCGUGCCGGGCUUGGUUGGGAAGCGGGCGUAGGCCGAUGUGCCGGGCCUGGGCAAGGUGAAAUUGUCCUUGUGACUUAGAUCCGAGCUCGGUCCCGUGUCUAGGCCCCCCGCAGAUCUUUCUUGCUGCGAGGUUUCUGUGCCGGCUUCGGUCGGUCAGUCGUACUCUUCGGCCGCCAUUCAACGGUCAGCUCAGAACUGGCACGGACUAGGGGAAUCCGACUGUCUAAUUAAAACAAAGCAUUGCGAUGGCCCUAGCGGGUGUUGACGCAAUGUGAUUUCUGCCCAGUGCUCUGAAUGUCAACGUGAAGAAAUUCAAGCAAGCGCGGGUAAACGGCGGGAGUAACUAUGACUCUCUUAAGAACUCCAUGCACGAAAACAUCUACACCGAGAUCAAAUCGGGGAAUGAUAAGAUUGCAGUUAACAUUAAACGAGGGGUUAAGCAGGGUGACCCGCUUUCCCCGCUGUUGUUUAACUGUGUCUUGGACCCCCUUCUCGAACAACUUGAGAGCACGGGAGAAGGAAUCAGUAUUGGUUCCCAGAGCGUCUCUGUUCUGGCUUUCGCUGACGAUCUUGUGGUUUUCGGUAGAACACCGCAGGAUCUUCAGAAAAAGCUGAACAUGACCUCCCAAUUUUUAAGUGAUCUUGGUAUGCAUGUUGCGGUUGAAAAAUGCAGCAGUUUCCAGAUAUCGGUUCGAGGGAAGUCAUGGAUACUUAUGGACCCUAAAGUUGAGAUAAGCGGUA
rnacentral:rRNA from 1 species